UCAGAAUACCAGAGCUCACACUUAAAAUUUCUGUCUGAGAACUUAGAGGUGUCCAAGGGGCAGUGCUUGAGCAAUACCCAUUUCUUACAGCAUUUGCACAUAGAGAAUUUGUAUUUGAACACUAUUUUUCCAUUUUCUUACUUAAAUCCCUUGUCCUCGCUUUUGAGCCACUUCUAGGCAUCAUGAGUAUCCAGCUAGUAAAUAACUCUGUGGUAUUACAUCCCUUCAGGUCUUAUCCUGCUGUAGACAGAUCAUGUGACACUGAUGAUAACUUAUCAGAACUUAGGGAUGAAGUCAGAGAGAAUCUGGGUAGAGAAAAAUGCAGGGGAAACCCUCUCAAAGGGUAUUUUCCUUCGACUUACCAGAAAAUCCACCAAAUCCCCUCAACAAUCCCUUACAGAAAGGAACUAUAUUGGAUUUCUCACUUAUUUGUUGCAGGGAUACAUGCAUUUUAGAAGAAAUGAGACAUAAAAUCCAGGGAACCACAUUGAUAAUUCAUCCCGGCACUAUCUCCACUAAUAAGAGAAGCCAAAUGACCAAACGUAAAAACAAAUUCUGUCAGAGAGUAGGCUAGUGAACAGAGGCGCUGCUUGAUUGUGGGCAAGUGCAUAUUGGCUAGGGAACACAGACACUGCUCAUACUAAAUGUCAAGACUUUUCUUCCUAUUUGAUUCUGCCAAAUGGUAUCUAUCAUUUCUGUGGUUUGGUGACCACUUAGAGUGUGUGAUGCCUGUUCUCCAGACUGGGACCAGUGUUAAUACUGGCAUCUAUGUAAACGAAACCGAAGUUCCUACAAGAUCCAGAGUAUUAUCUCUUUCCCCUAUGCAAAGUGAGGAUUGCAUCUAAAUUAUUUGGUUUUAAAUUGAGUGAAGUAUUUAACAUAUUUUAUCGACAAUAAUCAUAGUCUACCAUUCACUGAGUCACUGUGAGAAUAGUAAAUCAAACUCUCUUUGCUGACAAAUUAUUUCCACAUCUCAUCGUCAUAUUCACACACUGAUCAAGUUAUGCAAACUGCUAUCCAUUUCUGGGUAAAAGAAAUACACUCUGAGAGCUUCUCAUGGUUCAAGUUAAUUGAUUCUGAUGGUCUUUCUGUGGAGUUUCCGUCCUUUUCUUUUAGACAGGACCAAUUUUGGGUCAAAAGUUUUGUGGGUGGGUUGCUGCCCUCAUUUCUCCACUGGAGGUUAUGUCUGACUUGUGGAGGUGGUCUCUUCAGCUGACAUAUCCCAACUGUUGUGCAUUUCAGCUAAGGUCACCUGCUUGACUCCUGGGAGUCUACCAUCCUGGUUCUCUGGUACUUCCUAGAGAAUUCCCCCAUUCCCAACUUCUGGUAGCUGCAUAAUUCCAUGUAUUUUCCUGGCCCUCUCAGACUCUCAUUUCUCUCUCCCCAUGCCUGACCUUGCUCCCCUAUUCCCCAAACCCUCCCCUCACUCACCCAGAUCCCUCUCUCUCUCAGCCUCCCAUGACUACUUUGUUCAAGUGAGGAAGAUUGAAGCUUCCUCACUUGGGUCUAUUUUCCUGAUCAACUUCUUGGGUCUAUGGGUUGUAUCAUAGAUAUCCUGAACUUUUUGGCAAAUAACCACUAUCAGUGAGUACAUAUUAUGUACAUCUCUUUGGGUUUGUGUUACUUUACUCAGGAUCAUGUUUUCUAGUUGCAUCCAUUUGCUUGCAAAAUUCAUGAUGUCCUGGUUUUAAAUAGCUGAAUAGCAUUCCAUUGUGUAAAUGUACCACAUCUUUCUGUAUAUAUUCAUUGGUUGAGGGACAUCUGGGUUGUUUCCUGUUUCUGACUGUUAUGAAUAAAGAUGCUAUGAACAGAGUGGGCCAUGUGUCCUUGGGCUAUGGUAGAGCAACUUUUUGGUAAAUGCCAAGGAGUGGUAUAGCUAGGUCUUCAUGUAGAACAACUUCCAAUUUUCUUCUUUUUUUUAAAGUUAAUUUUUAGUAGAUAUUUUCUUCAUUUACAUUCCAAAUGCUAUCCCUUUUUCUAGGUUGCUCUCCGAAAGUCCCCUAUACCCUUCUCCCGCCCUACUCCCCAACCCACACACUCCCCUAUAUAGAAUCUUUGCAAGACUAAGGGCCUCUCCUCCCACUAAUGGCCAAUUAGGCCAUCUUCUGCUACAUAUGCAGCUAGAGACACAAGCUCUGGGGGUACUGGUUAGAUCAUAUUUUUGUUCCACCUAUAGGGUUGCAGACCCUUUCAGCUUCUUGGGUACUUUCUCUAGCUCAUUCAUCUGGGGUCCUGUGUUCCAUCCAAUAGACGAUUGUGAGCAUCCACUUCUGUAUUUGCCAGGCACUGGCAUUGCCUCAUAGGAGACAGCUAUAUCAGGUUCCAUUCAGCAAAAUCUUGCUGACAUGUCAUGCCAGCCUUCUUGAUGCUUUGUUGCUAAGUUGUUAGCACUAGUCUGUUAGCAUUAGGUCACCAAGUACAUACAUUGUCAGCUCUCUCAAGAACAUCUCAGGAAACAGGUUUAGCCUCUCAGCAGUAGCAGCAUCUUGUAGAAGAGCAGUGGCAGGUGACAGAACAAUAAAGCCAUCUAGGUCAGAACGCUCCACUCCAGUGGUCUCAUUCACAGUGGCAGCAAGAUCUGAGCCAGCCUACUCAAGGAUAGGGGAGGCUACAGUUUCUACUUUGGGAAAUAGUUUAAGGAGAAUUGGAAUUAGAUCUUUGAAGGUCUGAUAGAACUCUGCACUAAACAUAUCUGGUCCUGGGCUUUUAUUGGUUGGGACACUCUUAAUGACUGCUUCUAUUUCUUUAGGGGAUAUGGGACUGUUUAGAUAGUUAAUCUGAUUCUGAAAUAAAUUUGGCACCUGUUACCUGUCUAGAAAAUUGUCCAUUUCAUCGAGGUUUUCGAGUUGAGUAUAGCCUUUUGUAGUAGGAUCUGAUGAUGUUUUGGAUUUCAUCCGGUUCUGUUUUUAUGUCUCCCUUUUCAUUUCUGAUUUUGUUAAUUAGGAUACCGUCCCUGUGUCCUCUAGUUAAUCUGGAUAAGGGUUUAUCUAUCUUGUUGAUUUUCUC
rnacentral:lncRNA from 1 species